UACGGGGGGGGCAAGCGUUGUUCGGAAUUACUGGGCGUAAAGGGCUCGUAGGUGGCCAACUAAGUCAGACGUGAAAUCCCUCGGCUUAACCGGGGAACUGCGUCCGAUACUGGAUGGCUUGAGUUCGGGAGAGGGAUGCGGAAUUCCAGGUGUAGCGGUGAAAUGCGUAGAUAUCUGGAGGAACACCGGUGGCGAAGGCGGCAUCCUGGACCGACACUGACGCUGAGACACGAAAGCGUGGGUAGCAAACAGG
rnacentral:rRNA from 1 species